rnacentral:rRNA from 1 species
CGUUGUACACACCGCCCGUCACACCAUGGAGCGGGUUCUGCCAGAAGUAGUUAGCCUAACCGCAAGGAGGGCGAUUACCACGGCAGGGUUCGUGACUGGGGUG